ACGGAAAUACCAGUAUCCGUACGAUCAUCGAAGUUAAGCAACUUCGCGUUUGGUCAGUACCUAGUUGGGUGACCGCUUGAGAAAUCCAGAUGUUAU